rnacentral:rRNA from 1 species
UGGCCCCUAUAUUUUUAGAGGCUUCAGGCUCGACUCUCCCACCCUUUGUGAACGUACCUCUGUUGCUUUGGCGGCUUCGGCCGCCAAAGGACCUUCAAACUCCAGUCAGUAAACGCAGACGUCUGAUAAACAAGUUAAUAAACUAAAACUUUCAACAACGGAUCUCUUGGUUCUGGCAUCGAUGAAGAACGCAGCGAAAUGCGAUAAGUAAUGUGAAUUGCAGAAUUCAGUGAAUCAUCGAAUCUUUGAACGCACAUUGCGCCCCUUGGUAUUCCGGGGGGCAUGCCUGUUCGAGCGUCAUUACAACCCUCAAGCUCUGCUUGGAAUUGGGCACCGUCCUCACUGCGGACGCGCCUCAAAGACCUCGGCGGUGGCUGUUCAGCCCUCAAGCGUAGUAGAAUACACCUCGCUUUGGAGCGGUUGGCGUCGCCCGCCGGACGAACCUUCUGAACUUUUCUCAAGGUUGACCUCGGAUCAGGUAGGGAUACCCGCUGAACUUAAGCAUAUCAAUAAGCGGAGGAAUCAUUACCGAGUUUUCGAGCUUCGGCUCGACUCUCCAACAUUGUGAACGUACCUCUGUUGCUUUGGCGGCUUCGGCCGCCAAAGGACCUUCAAACUCAUCAUAAACCGACUCGAUAAAACAGUUUAAUAAACUAAAACUUUCAACAACGGAUCUCUGGGUUCUGGCAUCGAUGAAUAACGCGCGAAAUGCGAUAAGUAAUGUGAAUUGCAUAAUUCAGUGAAUCAUCGAAUCUUUGAACGCACAUUGCGCCCCUUGGUAUUUCCGGGGGGCAUGCCUGUUCGAGCGUCAAUACAACCCUAAGCUUUUCUUGUGAAAUUGGGGACCUUCUCUCGAAC